GAAAAAAUUCGUUAAGAGUGUGUGAGCAUCUCUUUCAUGAUAGAUAGGAUAGCACAGGCGCAGGAUACCUCUUGGAUAGGUUCCCAUAUGAAAGAACCCGCGCCCAUCCUUUCGUUUGUUCCCUUUCAGUUUUUUCGUUAGCGUGUCCUUCGUCAUGCUCUCUGUCGUCAUGUUGUGUAGUACUCUAAAGAACGACAAGUUUGCAAGAUUCACCUUGGCGUUGAGAGUUUUGUUCCUGAGAACUUCAUGUGCGUACAGCGGGGCACAAUCAACAACAAGUUAGUCAACGAUUUGAUGCAGCGUUUCUGGACACAAGAUGGAACGACGACUAGUUGCAUUUCAGGGCAACCGUACCAGAGAGCAGGCAUUCAUGCGCUCGUCACAGGCAACACCAGAGAAGCUGGACUCCAUUACAUAAAUGGCAUGCCACUUUACAUUGAGGGCCACCAGACUGACUUUCUAAAAGAACAACGCUAGAACUAGUCAGGUGAAUCUUUGCAGAUUUGGUUUUGGAGAUGUUGCCCAGCAAGGCAAAGCAGA